GAUCAUGGCUCAGGAUGAACGCUAGCUACAGGCUUAACACAUGCAAGUCGAGGGGCAGCAUUUUAGUUUGCUUGCAAACUGAAGAUGGCGACCGGCGCACGGGUGAGUAACACGUAUCCAACCUGCCGAUAACUCGGGGAUAGCCUUUCGAAAGAAAGAUUAAUAUCCGAUGGUAUAUUAAGAUCGCAUGAUUUUACUAUUAAAGAAUUUCGGUUAUCGAUGGGGAUGCGUUCAUUAG
rnacentral:rRNA from 1 species